rnacentral:rRNA from 1 species
CCUACGUGUGGCAGCAGUGGGGAAUAUUGCACAAUGGGGGAAACUCUGAUGCAGCAAUGCCGCGUGAGUGAAGAAGGCUUUAGGAGUGUAACGCUCUGUUAGCAGGGAAGAGGACGGACGGUACCUGCAGAGGAAGCCACGGCUACCUACGUGCGAGCAGCCGCGGUAAUACGUAGGUGGCAAGCGUUGUUCGGAAUAACUGGGCGUAAGGGAUGCAUAGGCGGUUAAACAAGUUAUAUGUUAAAUAUAUAGGCUUAACCUGUAGAACGCAUAUAAAACUGUUUAACUAGAGUGCAGGAGAGGUAGGUGGAAUGCCUAGUGUAGCGGUGAAAUGCGUAGAGAUUAGGAAGAACACCAGUGGCGAAGGCGACUUACUGGACUGUAACUGACGCUGAGGCAUGAGAGCAUGGGGAGCAAACAGGAUUAGAUACCCCUGUAGUC